rnacentral:rRNA from 1 species
AACGUAGGAGACAAGCGUUAUCCGGAGUUACUGGGCGUAAAGGGCGUGCAGGCGGCUUGUUAAGUUUGGCGUGAAAGCUCCUGGCUAAACCGGGAGAGGUCGUCGGAGACUGGCAGGCUCGAGGGUGAUAGAGGCGGGUGGAAUUCCGGGUGUAGUGGUGAAAUGCGUAGAGAUCCGGAGGAACACCAGUGGCGAAGGCGACCCGCUGGGUCACACCUGACGCUGAGACGCGACAGCAUGGGGAGCGAACGGG